CCUACGGGUGGCAGCAGUGGGGAAUAUUGCACAAUGGGGGCAACCCUGAUGCAGCGACGCCGCGUGAGCGAUGAAGUAUUUCGGUAUGUAAAGCUCUAUCAGCAUGGAAGAAAAUGACGGUACCUGACUAAUAAGCCCCUGCUAACUACGUGCCAGCAGCCGCGGUAAUACGUAGGCGGCAAGCGUUAUCCGGAUUUACUGGGUGUAAAGGGAGCGUAGACGGCGGUGCAAGCCAGAUGUGAAAGCCCGGGGCUCAACCCCGGGACUGCAUUUGGAACUGUGCUGCUAGAGUGUCGGAGAGGCAGGCGGAAGUCCUAGUGUAGCGGUGGAAUGCGUAGAUAUUAGGAGGAACACCAGUGGCGAAGGCGAUUUGCUGGAAUGUAACUGACACUGAGGCACGAAAGCGUGGGGAGCAAACAGGAUUAGAUACCCCAGUAGUC
rnacentral:rRNA from 1 species